AGCACCUACGGGUGUGAAGUCAUUGAUGCCAUGCUUCCAGGAAAAGCCUCUAAGCUUCAGAUUGUAAGGAAUCGUACCCCAAACCGACACAGGUGGUCGGGUAGAGAAUACCAAGGCGCUUGAGAGAACUCGGGUGAAGGAACUAGGCAAAAUGGUACCGUAACUUCGGGAGAAGGUACGCUCUUGAUGGUGAAGUCCCUCGCGGAUGGAGCUGAUGAGAGUCGCAGAUACCAGGUGGCUGCAACUGUUUAUUAAAAACACAGCACUGUGCAAAAUCGUAAGAUGACGUAUACGGUGUGACGCCUGCCCGGUGCCGGAAGGUUAAUUGAUGGGGUUAGCGUAAGCGAAGCUCUUGAUCGAAGCCCCGGUAAACGGCGGCCGUAACUAUAACGGUCCUAAGGUAGCGAAAUUCCUUGUCGGGUAAGUUCCGACCUGCACGAAUGGCGUAAUGAUGGCCACGCUGUCUCCACCCGAGACUCAGUGAAAUUGAAAUCGCUGUGAAGAUGCAGUGUACCCGCGGCUAGACGGAAAGACCCCGUGAACCUUUACUACAGCUUGGCACUGAACAUUGAACCUACAUGUGUAGGAUAGGUGGGAGGCUUUGAAGACGUGACGCUAGUUGCGUUGGAGCCGUCCUUGAAAUACCACCCUUGUAUGUUUGAUGUUCUAACUUAGCCCCGUUAUCCGGGGUGAGGACAGUGCCUGGUGGGUAGUUUGACUGGGGCGGUCUCCUCCCAAAGAGUAACGGAGGAGCACGAAGGUGGGCUAAUCACGGUUGGACAUCGUGAGGUUAGUGCAAUGGCAUAAGCCCGCUUAACUGCGAGAAUGACGGUUCGAGCAGGUGCGAAAGCAGGUCAUAGUGAUCCGGUGGUUCUGUAUGGAAGGGCCAUCGCUCAACGGAUAAAAGGUACUCCGGGGAUAACAGGCUGAUACCGCCCAAGAGUUCAUAUCGACGGCGGUGUUUGGCACCUCGAUGUCGGCUCAUCACAUCCUGGGGCUGAAGUCGGUCCCAAGGGUAUGGCUGUUCGCCAUUUAAAGUGGUACGCGAGCUGGGUUUAGAACGUCGUGAGACAGUUCGGUCCCUAUCUGCCGUGGGCGUUGGAAGAUUGAAGGGGGCUGCUCCUAGUACGAGAGGACCGGAGUGGACGAACCUCUGGUGUUCGGGUUGUGUCGCCAGACGCAUUGCCCGGUAGCUAAGUUCGGAAUCGAUAACCGCUGAAAGCAUCUAAGCGGGAAGCGAGCCCUGAGAUGAGUCUUCCCUGACGGUUUAACCGUCCUAAAGGGUUGUUCGAGACUAGAACGUUGAUAGGCAGGGUGUGUAAGCGUUGUGAGGCGUUGAGCUAACCUGUACUAAUUGCCCGUGAGGCUUAACCAU
rnacentral:rRNA from 1 species